CUGGGGAGUACGGCCGCAAGGUUAAAACUCAAAUGAAUUGACGGGGGCCCGCACAAGCGGUGGAGCAUGUGGUUUAAUUCGAUGCAACGCGAAGAACCUUACCUACUCUUGACAUCCAGAGAACUUUUCAGAGAUGAAUUGGUGCCUUCGGGAACUCUGAGACAGGUGCUGCAUGGCUGUCGUCAGCUCGUGUUGUGAAAUGUUGGGUUAAGUCCCGCAACGAGCGCAACCCUUAUCCUUACUUGCCAGCGGGUAAUGCCGGGAACUUUAGGGAGACUGCCGGUGAUAAACCGGAGGAAGGUGGGGACGACGUCAAGUCAUCAUGGCCCUUACGAGUAGGGCUACACACGUGCUACAAUGGUCGGUACAGAGGGUUGCGAAGCCGCGAGGUGGAGCUAAUCUCACAAAGCCGGUCGUAGUCCGGAUUGGAGUCUGCAACUCGACUCCAUGAAGUCGGAAUCGCUAGUAAUCGUGGAUCAGAAUGCCACGGUGAAUACGUUCCCGGGCCUUGUACACACCGCCCGUCACACCAUGGGAGUGGGCUGCACCAGAAGUAGAUAGCUUAACCUUCGGGAGGGCGUUUACCACGGUGUGGUUCAUGACUGGGGUGAAGUCGUAACAAGGUAGCCCUAGGGGAACCUGGGGCUGGAUCACCUCCUUACCU
rnacentral:rRNA from 1 species